rnacentral:rRNA from 1 species
AAAUUGAAGAGUUUGAUCAUGGCUCAGAUUGAACGCUGGCGGCAGGCCUAACACAUGCAAGUCGAACGGUAACAGGAAACAGCUUGCUGUUUCGCUGACGAGUGGCGGACGGGUGAGUAAUGUCUGGGAAACUGCCUGAUGGAGGGGGAUAACUACUGGAAACGGUAGCUAAUACCGCAUAACGUCGCAAGACCAAAGAGGGGGACCUUCGGGCCUCUUGCCAUCGGAUGUGCCCAGAUGGGAUUAGCUUGUUGGUGGGGUAACGGCUC